rnacentral:rRNA from 1 species
AGAUGUUGGGUUAAGUCCCGCAACGAGCGCAACCCUUGUCCCUAGUUGCCAGCACGUAAUGGUGGGAACUCUAGGGAGACUGCCGGUGACAAACCGGAGGAAGGUGGGGAUGACGUCAAGUCCUCAUGGCCCUUACGGCCAGGGCUACACACGUACUACAAUGGUCGGUACAGAGGGUUGCGAAGCCGCGAGGUGGAGCCAAUCCCAGAAAACCGAUCCCAGUCCGGAUCGGAGUCUGCAACUCGACUCCGUGAAGUCGGAAUCGCUAGUAAUCGCGAAUC